UGGUAAUGGCCUGAGAACAGCGAGAGCCAACCUGUCCCGUGGCAUCAGGAAAGCAAAACAGGACUACACAAAAAAGAUAACCUGCCAUUUCAAUGAUAGCAGAGACACGCGGAGCCUGUGGCAGGGCAUCCAGACCAUCACGGACUACAAGCCCGCGCCACAGAUCUGCGACGACAAUCUCUCUGCUCAACAACCUCAACAGCUUCUGCACGGUUUGAUGCAACAAACAAACAAACACAGAAAAACUCAACCCCCAACCACCCCCACCCCAACCCCCCCCCCCCCCCCCCCCCCCCCCCCCCCCCCCCCCCCCCCCCCCCCCCCCCCCCCCCCCCCCACGACCAGGCUCUGUGCCUAUCUGAUGCCAGUGUGAAGAGGACACUCUCCAGUAUCAACCCCCGCAAAGCAACAGGCCCUGACAACAUUCCAGGCCGUGUGCUGAAGGACUGCGCAGAGGAGCUUAAGGAUGUCUUCACGGAUGUCUUUAACACUUCUCUGGAACAAGCUGCUGUUCCAUCCCUUUUUAAGGCCACUAUCAUCAUACCUGUGCCAAAGAAACCUGCUCCAUCUUGCUUCAAUGACUAUCGCCCUGUGGCACUGACCUCCAUCAUCAUGAAGUGCUUUGAACGGCUAGUCAUGUCUCACAUCAAGUCCAUCCUCCCCCCCACCCUGGACCCCUUUCAGUUUGCAUACCGAGCAAAACGCUCCACAGAGGAUGCAAUCUGCUCUGCUCUCCACCCAGCCCUUACCCACCUGGACACAACGGACUCAUAUGUGAGAAUGCUGUUCAUAGACUUCAGUUCGGCAUUCAACACCAUAAUUCCACAACAACUCAUCUGUAAACUGGACCUGCUGGGGCUCAACACCUCCCUUUGCAACUGGCUGCUGGACUUCCUCAGUGAGAGGCCACAAGCAGUACGAGUCGGCAGCAACACCUCGAGCAGCAUCACACUCAGCACAGGGGCCCCCCAAGGCUGUGUGCUUAGUCCCCUGCUCUUCACCCUACUGACUCACGACUGCACACCAACCUACAGCUCCAACC
rnacentral:lncRNA from 1 species